GUAACAAGAGGAAAUGGGCUCAAAUUGCAUUAGGAGAAGUUUAGAUUGGAUACUAGGAAACCUUUCUUCACAGAAAGAAUUGCAAGGCAUUGGCAUGGGCUGCCAAGGGAAGCAGUUAAGUCAACAUCCCUCAGCAGGGUUUCCUGUUCAAACAGAAUUGAUGGUGGCAGAGAACUUGCAGCUGGUCUGAGGACUCCCACUGGCAGGUCAGUGGAGUAGUAGAGUUUAAAACAGUACAUCAGUGAACUGUCCUUCUUUUCCUGGUGAUAAGAAUGGCAAUGGUUCAGGAUCUCACAAGGAAGAUUCUCUGGGUCAAAUCCACAGCUAUAAUGUGAUCCUUAACUGUAAGACUUUGGGCUAAAGCCAGCAGACAAAAUGUCAUUCAAAAAGAGAGCCAUCCAGGAUAAACUGUGAGCAUUUUGGAGGUACCUUUGGUGUGAAGAAAUGUCACUGGGUACAUGCAAAAGUAUUGAUACUAUACAGUCAACCAAGACCAUAAACUUUCCAUGAAAACUGUACAAAUAUUCAUAUGCAUGGAUAUACUCGGAAUUUAUUUAUAACAGGAUCCUGUACCAUCUUUGGCAUUGCAACAAAUAUUUUUACACCAAUUUUUGUCAUCCACAGUCUUAACCUCAGGAAGUUCAGAGCUGCAUGGAGUUUAGGCUUGAAAGGGAGAACAGACAGCUGAGAAAGAGGCUUUACACCAUUCUCCAUGACAAAAAUAUUUCAUUACAUUGGCAUCACUUAUUCAGAUUAAAAGUCUGAACUUUUGGUGUUUAUGAUAACGUAUUCUUUUAAAGGUAAUGGAAAGUAUAUAUGGAUGUAAAGAAAGCUUUAACAGGAGAAUGAAGAAUCACUCUUCCAACUACUUCUGCUCAAGAGAAGACAUAGAAAUCCAUUUUUAGGCAGGGUCAAAUUAAAAUCAAUACCAGGAUAUCUGCAUAUGUCCUCAAUUUCAAUUCUAGUUGUUUAACUGUUAAACCGAAUGCCUUUUUAAUGUUAUUUGUAACAUUUGAGCCAGUUUCACUGGUGUGCUUCGCUUUGCUUGUUUGUACCUCUUCAGUUUUGCACAGCAGGCAUGAACUGAAGUUUAUUCAGCUGAUUAAGGUGAUUGGCAUCAGUGGAGCACUGUGAGGCACAAUGUACCUGUAAGUGUGGCCCUUCUUUGAAAAAAUCAAUGUCAAGUAUCAAGAUCCCUUCUACCUCUUUAGCGGGCUAUGGGAGAAUACAUUGUUCUUUAUUUUAAAUAUAUAGAAGAUCACAUACUUGUUUACAUUUUUAUGUGACAAUGGUAAUAUGCUUGUAGUUGAAUGAAAUUUUGGGCAAUUUGACACAUUUAUGGGGAAAAUCAUGUUUGUAUAUGGCAAACUCAAAUGCCAACAUAUCAAUUCAACAAAGUGUGCAUUCAGAUUUCGCUCUUUUCUCUCACAUUUCUGAGCAUUCAGAUGGUUUUAUAUGGAAUUAUAGAAGUGCUAUGCAUAAUUUUUUUUCCUUGCAUGGGAUGCUGCUCCACACUCUGCUUUGCAAAUGUCCGUAAAAUUCUGGGUCAAUGGUUUUACACAAAAAACAUGCAUAAUAGGGCAGAGCAUCCAGCAGAUUGUAUCUGAAUUGUGAAUAAAAUGUUUUCUCUGACUUUAUAUUUGUUUUAUGUAUAAACACUGGUAUGCUAUGUAUUAGUCCUUCAU